UACGUAGGGGGCAAGCGUUGUCCGGAUUUAUUGGGCGUAAAGAGCGUGUAGGCGGCCUGACAGGUCUGCUGUGAAAACUCGAGGCUCAACCUCGAGAUGUCGGCGGAAACCGUCUGGCUAGAGUCCGGAAGAGGAGAGUGGAAUUCCUGGUGUAGCGGUGAAAUGCGCAGAUAUCAGGAAGAACACCUAUGGCGAAGGCAGCUCUCUGGGCCGAUACUGACGCUGAGGAGCGAAAGCGUGGGGAGCGAACAGG
rnacentral:rRNA from 1 species